rnacentral:rRNA from 1 species
GAUGAACGCUGGCGGCGUGCCUAAUACAUGCAAGUCGAGCGAACAGACCAUUAGCUUGCUCCUCUGACGUUAGCGGCGGACGUGUCAGUAACACGUGGAUAACCUACCUAUAAGACUGGGAUAACUUCGGGAAACCGGAGCUAAUACCGUAUAAUAUAUUUAACCUCAUGGUUCAAUAGUUAAAGACGGUGUUGCUGUCACUUAUAGAUGGAUCCGCGCGGCGUUAGCUAGUUGGUAAGGUAACGGCUUACCAAGGCGACGAUGCGUAGCCGACCUGAGAGGGUGAUCGGCCACACUGGAAGUGAGACAGGGUCCAGAGGACUAAGGGAGGCAGCAGUAGGGAAUCGUACGCAAUGGGCGAAAGCAUGACGGAGCAACGCCGCGUGAGUGAUGAAGGUCUUCGGAUCGUAAAACUCUGUUAUUAGGGAAGAACAAAUGUGUAAGUAACUAUGCACGUCUUGACGGUACCUAAUCAGAAAGCCACGGCUAACUACGUG